GAUGAACGCUGGCGGCGUGCCUAACACAUGCAAGUCGAACGGAGUUCUUAAGGAAUGCGGCUUCGGUCAAAUGACUUUUGAACUUAGUGGCGGACGGGUGAGUAACGCGUGAGCAACCUGCCUUUCAGAGGGGGAUAACAUUUGGAAACAGAUGCUAAUACCGCAUAAGAUUACAGUACCGCAUGAUACAGUGAUCAAAGGAGCAAUCCGCUGAAAGAUGGGCUCGCGUCCGAUUAGAUAGUUGGUGAGGUAACGGCUCACCAAGUCGACGAUCGGUAGCCGGACUGAGAGGUUGAACGGCCACAUUGGGACUGAGACACGGCCCAGACUCCUACGGGAGGCAGCAGUGGGGAAUAUUGCACAAUGGGCGAAAGCCUGAUGCAGCAACGCCGCGUGAGGGAAGACGGUUUUCGGAUUGUAAACCUCUGUUUUCGGUGACGAACAAAUGACGGUAACCGAGUAGGAAGCCACGGCUAACUACGUG
rnacentral:rRNA from 1 species